rnacentral:rRNA from 1 species
UACGUAGGGCGCAAGCGUUGUCCGGAAUUAUUGGGCGUAAAGGGCGCGUAGGCGGCUUGGCAAGUGGAUGGUGAAAUCCCUCGGCUUAACCGAGGAACUGCCGUCCAAACUGCUUUGCUUGAGGCCGGGAGAGGCGAGUGGAAUUCCCAGUGUAGCGGUGAAAUGCGUAGAUAUUGGGAGGAACACCAGUGGCGAAGGCGGCUCGCUGGACCGGUUCUGACGCUGAUGCGCGAAAGCGUGGGGAGCAAACGGG